rfam:Felis catus isolate Cinnamon breed Abyssinian chromosome A2, whole genome shotgun sequence.
GCCUGGGUGGCUCAGUCGGUUGAGCAUCCGACUUCAGCUCAGGUCAUGAUCCCAUGGUUUGCGGGUUCGAGCCUCGCGUUGGGCU